AGCAGUUUCGUGUUUUUGUUCGCAUGUUAAAUGCGGAGAUUGUGCAUUGAGUGUUCCCUGGAAAGGAGGUGGGAUUCAGCUGCAGGCGGACAAGUGUUGGUUUCCAGAUUAAAGCAGGAAGAAGGAGAUUAACACACAGAGGCCUCAUGUUUUGUGCUUUAUGUUUUUGAAUUAGAGAGGCCUUUCAGUAGAGAAUAUUGUAUUAUUUGUUCAAUUAGAAGUGAUUUAUCUAUCCAUCCAUCUAUCAAGAGCAUUAUUUAGCCUUAUUUAAAAUAAUAAGACUGAUCUCUGCAUUUCUUUAAAAAAAAACUUCAACUAAUAAACUACACACAAAACACCACCUUGAGUUGGAGAACAGUUGUUAAAAGGUUUGGUUUCUGUCAUACUGCCCACUGUCUGCAGGAAGCAGACUCCAACCUGAAUAUCCAGGAACAUCCAUGUAGACGGGAGAACUGGAAGGAGGGAGGGGUUGUUGGAUUACGUCAGAAUCAGCCAUCUCUGACUCAUCAGCGGUGCUUUUUCUCUCUUUCACACACACACACACACACACACACACACACACAUACACACACACACACACACCACCUCCUGUGUGUUACUCUGUUUUUUUUUCAGUGCUUGGCUGCAUCAGCUCGUCACAUGAUGACAAUCAGUCCAGCAAUGGUUGCCAAGGAAGCUCUCUCCCUCACAACGCCUCAGUCCUGAGUCAUCCGUUGCCAGUGUUUUACAGAUCCACACUGACCUGAUUCAGCGUUGACUCCGAACUCCAGGAUCACAGAUUGCUUUUAUGGUGUUUGCAUAAGCCUGGUGUUAUAAAUAGACUGUAAAUGUAUUCUGAGUCUUACAUAUUUUGUAUGGUUGUUGUGUUUGCACAACUCUGUAGAUCUACAACUCUGCCUCAGUCUAUUCAUUUUCUCCCACUAUGGCGGGCAAGCCUUCCUUAGCAACAACAGUCUCUUUGACAACUGAUGCAAGCAGCAGUUUUCAGACACAGAAGACGCACUGUGCCUUUAAGGUUCCUAUUCAGUAGUGUUGUUGCGUUGUCGCCUCAUGAACAUCACAUUAUCUCUGAAAAAUUAUCAAUUGCAGCAGACUUUCAUCUCAGCCACACACACGCACACAUUUACUAUCAGCUCACAUUAUCUCUGCUCAUUUUUUCAACAUGCAAUCACAGUAUUUGGCACUAGCAUGCUGAUCGUUCCUAUUCCCAGCUAUUUACAUUUGCAUCCCAGUGUGUUACUGUUUGCUUUACAAAGCCUGUGCUCAAAAACACACCUGUAUUGUUUUCUCUUGUGUUCUGUUGUUACUGAAAAUGUCUCUUAUAUUUAAUUUCCUGUUUAGUUGCAUUGAGUCCUUUCCAAAAAAAGUUUAUUUUUCAUUUACAGCAGCAUUUACAGUAUCCAAUGAGAUUUUAAGUUGCAUGAGUGCAUUUGUAUUGUAGCAUGAGCAGUCCUAGUUGGUACCAAAUAAGUUGUAUUAUUUAUUUAUUACAUGUGGCAUUUCAAAAUAUCAAUAAACAAUGGUCAAUGAUAUUUUGUUAUACACUAACUACACUAAAAAGAAAAAAGAAGAACACCUCUCUCUUGGUGGUAGUGUUUUAAGAACCAGUUUGGAAAGAAAUUGCUUCCUUUCACAAAGUGGUCACUGCUGUUUGUUUGCAUUUGUAGAAUGGUGACCAUUUACUGUGUUGCACUUUAAAUCAUAGAUGGGCAUAGAGAUCCAAAAAUCUACAGGUUACCAAUCAAAGAAAGUGAAAUUCAGUUAACUUUUGUUAGACCCAUAAUAUGGAUUGAUAAACUGACUUUUUAUGUUACUAAAAAAGGCAAGCACUUU